CUUCUUCCUUAGACGGCAAACUCAUCUACUCAAUUUAAUUCAGACCUAUUUUCUUCCAAUAAUAAAUUUUAGAACCUGAAGAAUUAAUAUCUAGCAAAGCAAGAACAAGAUUUCAGCAAUAGCUAUAACUAAAAAUUUACUCUUUUGGUCAUGGAAGAUGUGGUACAAAAAGAUCUAUUUUUUCACAUUCAAGAAGACUCUACCGAGUUCUUUCAAAAAUGUCCGAUAAAAUUGGAACGAUACAGAGAAGAUUUCAGUACGACACUGCUAGAUAAUGCAACUGAUUAUCCUUUAUCCGGCGAUGAAGCAGCUGAUAUUAGGAUGCCAUCAACUAGGAAAAGUAGGAGAGUAGCAAAGAAUUAAGAGAGUAAUUUCAGUGCCAAUUAGCUAAUGCAAUGGAUCAAGAAGUUAUAAAGGAGAAGUUUAUCCUACGUCUGAUUCUUGGUCUUGGAGAAAGUAUGGCCAAAAGCCAAUUAAAGGAUCACCUUAUCCCAGAUACGAGGCUUCCAGAGACCAAUUCAUGACGCAAGAGCAUAGCGGAGUAAAGAAUUACACGAUUUGAGGUAAGUAACACUUCUAAACUUGGUUCUGAGAGUACAAAUCCCUGAAUUUCGUGUUGUAUGAAUUGUUUGGAGAUGACGUACAUGCUAGGCGACAUGCGUGUGGGUGUGCAUCAUGGAAAUUGUAAAUUAAAUUAAUUCUGUGGAGUUGCAUAGUUGAAUAAAUGUCAUUAUCCGCAUAACCUCCACAUGUUAGGAAAAUUGAGCUGGGACUCAUAUUAAAGAUCAUGUUUAGGCUACACUCGAUAUAUUUCGGGACCCUUAUGGGUCGUAUUGAUGUUGAAUUAUUUGUUUAAAUUUAUAAUUUUAUACUCAGUCAUAUUUAUCACUUGCAUAUCAUUUCUCAAUCUCUGUUGUCAUUCAUUGACACUUCAUAUCAUCAUAUCGGGUUGAUUUUCAUGUCAUUGAGAGCCCGAGAGACUGGAGAUUUUGAGUGAUAGUUUUGUUUAUUUAUUUAUGCCUGGAUAUGGAUAUUAUAGCACUUGGGCUGAAUGAGGCCCUCAGGAGUCUUCACCCCUCAGAGUGAGCGCAGUUGAUAUAUAUAUCUGGGAUGGAUCUUCCCUGGGCAUGGUUUGAGUCGGGUGAG